UCCUGGUCUACCUUUAGAAGUAAAAGUCGUAACAAGGUCUCCGUUGGUGAACCAGCGGAGGGAUCAUUA
rnacentral:rRNA from 1 species